rnacentral:rRNA from 1 species
GCAGCCGCCGCGGGAAUACGAAGGGUGCAAGCGUUAAUCGGAAUUACUAGGCGUAAAGGGUGCGUAGGCGGUUAUAUAAGACAGAUGUGAAAUCCCCGGGCUCAACCUGGGACCUGCAUUUGUGACUGUAUAGCUAGAGUACGGUAGAGGGGGAUGGAAUUCCGCGUGUAGCAGUGAAAUGCGUAGAUAUGCGGAGGAACACCGAUGGCGAAGGCAAUCCCCUGGACCUGUACUGACGCUCAUGCACGAAAGCGUGGGGAGCAAACAGGAUUAGAUACCCCGGUAGUCCCUGUCUCUUAUAC